CAAAAAAAAAUUUACACUCUUUCUCUUUCUGGCGUCACUUGCCCUAAAUCACCACCACAUAGCUCGAGCCACCUAGAACCACCACACCAUCAACAUGCCACCCAAAAACACCACCACCAACCAAAUCACCAACCAGUGCGCCACCCAUCUGCCUCAUCAGCUCCGACGUCGUUUACCUGAAGGGAUUUCUCAAUCUAUGGGUAAAUUACACAACUUAUGGCAUUCUCAGGAUUAAUAAGAGCUAGGAAGGUGUUGAGCAAUGUUCUCUUGUUAUUAUUCCCAAUAUUUGAUAUUGGAUUAUUCAUAGCAUAAUUAAACCCUACCUAUUCAUUGUUGUUUAGUUAUUUGUCGGCAUGAGUUACUACCUAGAUCAAGGUUCUGAUGGACGGAAGAAUUAAAAAAAAUUAUAUUAAUUGUAGAAUUUUCUCAAUUCUAGUCA